GAUUAGCCUAAUAUGUAAAGUGAUUGCUUGAAAUUUGCAUAAAGCAAGUUAGGAGAAUUUACUAAUUACCACUUUACAUAAUUUAGUGUACAUGAUUGUCACUUUGUCAGGCCAAAAGAUCCACAUCUAAGCAUUAGUUCCUGAUCUAUAAAUUUGGCAUGGGAGUUUGAGAGAAAUAUUUGAACUCUGAUUGGUUUUGUUUAAUCCCAUUUACUGGUCUGGUGUUGUUUUAGCGAUUUUGAUAAUCUCUCGCUAUUUUUCAGGAACAAAAUAUAUGUGCUAAAGGAAGGUCAAGUAUCUACUUGCAGACCAACCCGUGCAGCGAUUCAUGCAUAUAGUGGCUUCUUCUCCGUAUGUGGUGACAGGCGUCGCAAUUGAGGGAGGCAGGACGCUGAUCUCGGUUUACCUGGACGACCUCACCAUCCUGUGUACUCGAGCUGGAUUGGCCAUGCUAUUGCAAUCUCAUGGUGGUGAACAACAGCUAGCACCAUGUCAUGUUUAAGGUCAAGACGACAUCUCCGAGGUAGUAUUUCGACGAACCAAACGUGAGCAUCGUCUAGCCGUGGGAUUCUUGCUCGAUAACAAGACACACAUGCUAAAAUUAAAGAAAGCUCUAUGACGGUUGACAGUCACAUCAACAGUAUGUGUAAAAAAGGGGCUGAUACAGAGGUGGUUGGUAUUUUUCGUGAAUCGUCAAAUGGAAGGACUCUAUUCGGCGUGUCGUCAGCUUCCUUAAUUUGUUGGAUGUAUUUUUUGAAGGCAAAAUAGGACAGAUCAGUUCAUCUUCCGCCGUAUAACAAUGCCUUGCAAUUAAGUUAUUGUGAUGGCAGCCAUGGUAACCUGUCAUUUUAUUUGAUAGUUGGCUCCAAAGUAUGAUGCAAUUUGCAAAUAUACAUUUUAUCCACGUACCUAAUGUGUUGUGUAAUAUCGUCUCACGGGGCAUGUACAAGCUGGGGUCUGCUUUUGUUUAUUCCCGUACUAAUCCAUAUGUGUUCCAUGUAAUAAACCUCUGAGUAGCAGUGUAUCGGUGUGCUGAUGUACCAUUUGAUCACACCUUUGGCGCCUAUUGCAUUUAUCGUCCUCUUCAAAAGCA